rfam:Microbacterium azadirachtae strain DSM 23848 RL72_contig000076, whole genome shotgun sequence.
CCUCGUCGCUUUUUCACUACGGAUCGUCCGGCACGUACCUGCCGGUGAAGGAGAAGACAA